AUACGUAGGGGGCGAGCGUUGUCCGGAAUGAUUGGGCGUAAAGGGCGCGUAGGCGGCCCGGUAAGUCUGGAGUGAAAGUCCCGUUUUUAAGAUGGGAAUUGCUUUGGAUACUGUCGGGCUUGAGUGCAGGAGAGGUAAGUGGAAUUCCCAGUGUAGCGGUGAAAUGCGUAGAGAUUGGGAGGAACACCAGUGGCGAAGGCGACUUACUGGACUGUAACUGACGCUGAGGCGCGAAAGUGUGGGGAGCAAACAGGAUUAGAUACCCUGGUAGUCCACACUGUAAACGAUGAAUGCUAGGUGUAGGGGGUAUCGACCCCUUCUGUGCCGCAGUCAACACAAUAAGCAUUCCGCCUGGGGAGUACGGCCGCAAGGUUGAAACUCAAAUGAAUUGACGGGG
rnacentral:rRNA from 1 species